UAUCUUUUACGGGAAUUGAACCCGUAUUUUAGCCUUGAAAAGGCCACGUCCUGACCAUUAGACGAAAAAGAC
rnacentral:tRNA from 1 species